rnacentral:rRNA from 1 species
AUGUGGCUUCGUGUGCAGGUAUUUGCUUUGAGAGAUGCAGGGGAUUUAGCAGAGAAUGCAACGGCUUAUGUCAGUUUGGAGCCCUGCAACCACUACGGGAGAACCCCUCCCUGCACUGAAGCACUCAUCAAAGCCAAAGUUAAGGAGGUUGUGGUGGGGAUGACUGACCCAAAUCCUAUGGUAGCAUCCAAAGGGAUUGAAAAACUCAGAAACGCCGGGAUAGAUGUAAGGGUUGGCGUGGAGGAAGCAUUAUGUCUCAGAUUAAAUGAGGCUUACAUUCAUCGCAUGCUUACUGGGAAGGCCUUUGCAACUUUGAGAACCACACUCUCGAUGAACGGAAUUGUCAUAAAUCAAAUUGGGAGCGGAGCUGAUCAACCAGGAGGAUACUACUCGCAAUUAGCGAAAGAAUACGACGGAGUUAUAAUUUCAAGCGACAUGGCCAAGGCGACUACCUUACCAAUAUCACGCGAGGCUGGCGCAAAGCAGCCUCUUUACAUCAUCAUAGCGCAGGAAGAAGGUUCCAAAUUACACAUCCCGUUUCUCGACGAGGAGUCUGCAUCUAGCGCCAUAGUCCUGGCCGAUAGUCCCGUCACUGUGGAGCCAUCGGGAGUCAGCGUUUCUGUCCUCGAUCAGAUGAACCUGGAGUCCGUCCUUCAACUUCUCGCAGAUCGAGGGUUAUGUAGUGUCCUGGUGGAUUUCAUAGAUGACGGGGCUGGCCUAGUGUCGCUGCUGAAGAAUUUUCAGGAGGACAAGCUGGUGCAGAAGGUUGUUGUGGAGCUCUCUCCUGUCUGGAUGGUGAGCCCAGGGCUGAGCGACCUGGCGUUUGGUGGCAGCCAGUCGUUUCCACUGAAGAAUGUGGAGCACAAGGAGGUGAAUAGAACUUUGCUGCUUGAGGGAUAUUUGUAG